rnacentral:lncRNA from 1 species
AUAGACUCUCUAGAAUGGGCCACAGAGAAUCCUAAGCACAUCUUCAAUCCUAUAAGUGGUAGUGAGAGGAACAGGGCAGAAGAAGCCAGUCUCUCAAUCAAGGUGAAAGGCGGGACAAGUUAGAACAGCAGACUGUAGAGAUUAAUAAAGAAAGAAACAGCUUCAUGUCAAGGCAACUUGGAAGUUGGAAGCUGAAGGAAACUGUUAUGUAAAUAAAGAAGACUGAUAAAACAGAAGAAAAUGGGGCAAGUAAAGACACCUUGUUCAGGAAAAAAAAAAAACCAAGAAGGCAUACAAUAAAAAUUACUUCUUUAAACA